rnacentral:tRNA from 1 species
CGGAUGUAGCCAAGUGC